rnacentral:rRNA from 1 species
UUGGCCUCAAAUCAGGUAGGACUACCCGCUGAACUUAAGCAUAUCAAUAAGCGGAGGAAAAGAAACUAACAAGGAUUCCCCUAGUAACUGCGAGUGAAGCGGGAAAAGCUCAAAUUUAAAAUCUGGCGGUCUUUGGCCGUCCGAGUUGUAAUCUAGAGAAGUGUUACCCGCGCUGGACCGUGUACAAGUCUCCUGGAAUGGAGCGUCAUAGAGGGUGAGAAUCCCGUCUCUGACACGGACUCCCAGGGCUUUGUGGUAUGCUCUCAAAGAGUCGAGUUGUUUGGGAAUGCAGCUCUAAAUGGGUGGUAAAUUCCAUCUAAAGCUAAAUAUUGGCGAGAGACCGAUAGCGAACAAGUACCGUGAGGGAAAGAUGAAAAGAACUUUGGAAAGAGAGUUAAACAGUACGUGAAAUUGCUGAAAGGGAAACGCUUGAAGUCAGUCGCGUUGACCAGGGAUCAGCCUCGCAUUUGCGUGGUGCACUUUCUGGUUGACGGGUCAGCAUCAAUUUUGACUACUGGAAAAAGUCCUGAGGAAUGUGGCAGCUCCGGCUGUGUUAUAGCCUCUGGUCGCAUACAGUGGUUGGGAUUGAGGAACUCAGCA